rnacentral:rRNA from 1 species
UAGGGAAUAUUGCACAAUGGGCGAAAGCCUGAUGCAGCAACGCCGCGUGCGCGAUGAAGGCCUUCGGGUCGUAAAGCGCUUUUCGGGGAGAUGAGGAAGGACAGUAUCCCCGGAAUAAGGCUCGGCUAACUACGUGCCAGCAGCCGCGGUAAAACGUAGGAGCCAAGCGUUGUCCGAAUUCACUGGGCGUAAAGCGCGUGCAGGCGGCAUGAUAAGUUGGAUGUGAAAUCUCCUGGCUCAACUGGGAGGGGACGUUCAAUACUGUCAAGCUAGAGGACGGCAGAGGGAGGUGGAAUUCCCGGUGUAGUGGUGGAAUGCGUAGAUAUCGGGAGGAACACCUGAGGCGAAGGCGGCACCCUGGCCCACACCUGACACUGAGGUGCGAAAGCGUGGGGAGUAAACAG